rnacentral:rRNA from 1 species
UACGAAUGGAGCGAGCGUUGUUCGGAAUCACUGGGCGUAAAGGGUGCGCAGGCGGUUAUGAAAGUCAGAAGUGAAAGCCCAGGGCUCAACCCUGGAAUUGCUUUUGAAACUCCAUAACUUGAGUAUUGGAGAGGUUAGCGGAAUUCCGAGUGUAGAGGUGAAAUUCGCAGAUAUUCGGAGGAACACCAAUGGCGUAGGCAGCUAACUGGACAAUUACUGACGCUCAUGCACGAAAGCGUGGGGAUCAAACAGG